ensembl:lncRNA
CUGCAAUAGUGGAGGCAGCUCCUGUUUUCUUUGUGACUUGUGGAAACUCUCCUUGGUUCUAAAUCCCUAAUUGUUUGGUAGUCGGAAACAUUACCUUGCUUGACCAUGCUGUAGGUCCUGUAACUGUUUGUUACAUGCAAUAUGCUUUAUAUGGACUUCACCGGACAGAGGUUGAUCUUUGGAUUUGUGAUGAAACAAAGGUGUUUCAUUUAUUCUGCCACUGUGUCUUCUUAUGGUCUCGGCCUUUAGGCUUAUUUAUCACGGUUGCAAGGCAUAUGACCCUGGGACUAAAUACCUCCGUCUGCAACUGGAUCCUAAGACUUCCUGGCGGGCCGCUCCCAGGUGGUAAGCGUAGGUAACAACACAUCCGCCACGCCGAUCCUCAACACAGGGACCCCUCAGGGAUGCAUGCUCAGUCCCCUCCCUGUUCACUCAUGACUGCGUGGCCAGGCAUGACUCCAACACCAUCAUCAAGUUUGCAGAUGACACAACAGUGGUAGACCUGAUCACCAACAACGAUGAGACAGCCUAUAGGGAGUAGGUCAGACCUGUCCGUGUGAUGACAGGACAACAACCUCUCCUUCAAUGUGAUUAAGACAAAGGAGAUGUUUGUGGACUACAGGAAAAAGAGGACCGAGCACUCCCCCAUUCUCAUUGACUUGGCUGCAGUGAAGCAGGUUGAGAACUUCAAGUUCCUUGGUGUCCACAUAACCAACAAAGUAUCAUGGUCCAAACACACUAAGACCGUCGUGAAGAGGGCAUGACAAAGCCUAUUACCCCUCAGGAUACUGAAAAUAUUUGGCAUGGGUUCUCAGAUCCUCAAAAGGUUCUACAGCUUCACCAUCGAGAGCAUCCUGACUGGUUGCAUUACUGCCUGGUAUGGCAACUGCUCGGCUUCCAACCACAAGGCAUGACAGAGGGUAGUGCGUAUGGCCCAGUAGAUUACUGGGGCCAAGCUUCCCGCCAUUCAGGAACUCUAUACCAGGCAGUGUCAGAGGAAGGCCCUAACAAUUGUCAAAGACUCCAGCCACCCUAGUUAUAGACUGCUCUCUGCUACCACACAGCAAGCGGUACCAGAGCGCCAAGUCGAGGUCCAAAAGGCUUCUUAACAGCUUCUACCCCCAAGCCAUAAGACUCCAGAACAGCUAAUCAAAGGGCCACCCAGACCCCUCUUUUACGCUGCUGCUACUCUCUGUUUAUAAUCUAUGCAUAGUAACUUUAACUCUACCUACAUGUACAUAUUACCUCAAUUACCUUGUCUAACCGGUGCACCCACACAUUGACUCUGCACUGGUACCCCCUGUAUAUAGCCUCGCUAUUGCUAUUGUUAUUGUUUAAUUAUUUGUAACUUUUAUUUUCUAUAUAUUUAUUUUUUAUUUUUUUAUUAUUAUUUUUUUUUUUAAAUUUUACUUACACCUGUUGCAUUCGGCGCAUGUGACAAAUACAAUUUGAUUUGAUAUGAACUAACAGGUUAUAGAGCAAACUAAGCAAUUAUUACAACACAUAGGUUGUAAUAUCCCUUUUUUUCCUGGCUUCCCCCGGGAUCUUACCCACGCACCACUACUGGUGACGGAGAUCAUAGAGUGUUAUUUCCAACAUAGUGAUUGGGCUGUCUCUUCUCUGGGUGGCGCGGGAAGGAAAAGGAAAUAGGUAAACAAUGUCAUUAUUUGUGGCAUGUUGGGGAACCAUCUGGGGACCCCUUCAACAGCACAGGCUAAUUUACGGCUACUCUGAGCUUUCCGGGACUGAGUCCAACCCCCAUUCACCCCUCCAGAGCCCUUUCUCUGUUACCACAGAGUUCUGCAGAAUUCUCAUCUACCAUAGAUUGCUACUCUCUCAAUUCUCUCUCUAUUCUCUCUACCCCUAUUACUGCUGAGACCCGUCUCAUUCCACAGAUAUUCUGUUCACUCUCUAGUCUUCUCUUCUCUUCGCAUACAGUCACAACAGACAGUCCACCUGAUUAGCUCUAAUGAUUUGCGUCCAGUGUUUAUAAGCUCUAAACGCUAUCUAUGACCUAUUGAUUCACCAGUGACUAGCGCAGGGUCUGUUUAAGUUAUUGGUUUGUUCUCUAUAUAGUCCCUAUUGAUUGUCUAUUACAGUACUGCUGAGGCCAUUAUCUAGUUUACUGUUCCACAUGGUUCUCUCCCGUUUUUUCUGUGCAGAAGCUGCUGCCUCGCGUCAGCAUCCUAUAUAUCAGGCUGACUUGAGAGAUAGGAGUGGAACUCACAGUUGUGCUAUUCAUUUCUUCAAGAUACUAAUGCCAUCACAGUGCAGCACAUACAUAUCUACAGAUAAUUUCUUUUAUUUCACACACGCACACGCUGUCUUACUUGAAUGAAAACCGUCACUUUUACUACUACUACUAUGCCAUAUAUGUUGCAUUCUAUAAAAACUUCAAAUGCAUAGUUGUUUUUAUCCUAUCAUCCUCCUCCUCUAUCCCUUACUCUCUCUGUUUCAUCUGUGUUGCUGCCUGC